AACUCAUCAACCCUACCUAGUGCGGUUUCCCUCAGUGUUAGCAAUGUCUGAAGCCAAAGAAGACGUCAGCAGCUGCUCGAAGAUCUCACCUUUGAAGAAGACUGUUGAUUUUAUACUCAAAAAAUCUGUGCCGAUUCUGCAGCUUUAUUCUGAUGAAGCAGCUGAUGAACACCUUCAUCAUCAUGUCCCUCACUGCUGCUCUUCUCAAUGGAGACAUCGUUGAUCCAGAGGAUGAGGAAGACCAUGAUGAUGGACCCCUGAACCACACAAGCUUGAAGCAAGAGUGGGAGAAGAUGUGCGGGACAAUCUGUGUCUGCUGCAAGCAUUCAUGUGCUCUCCAUCAACAUGACUGAAUAAACAGAUUAAAACAUUUUACACUU